rnacentral:lncRNA from 1 species
AGUGUCAGUUGGUGGAAACUGGAACCAAGUGAGAGCUUCCGCAGAGAGGCAGAGACACAGAGGGAAGAGCUGCAGGAGGUCAGAACCACUUCCCCCUAAGUACAGAGUGGGUGAAAGUAAGGAUCUUGGGAAAUAGAGCUUGGCUUCUCUCCUAGACCACUGUUCUUUCCAGUGCUUCUCUAGGAUUGAAUUUAGACAGAAGCUAGCAGACAUUAGACCAUAAAAAGAAAGCACUGCAGAACACACAGGUAAGAAGAGAAUGUUCAAGUAAGUCAUGUGUGUGUAAGUAUGUGUGGGGUGUCAGUGCAUUCAUGUUAUAAUGUAUGUAGUCCUGCAUACUUUACAGCUGAACAACAUUAGCUAGUCAUUGGUACCUCAUCUUUAAAUAUUUGCAUAUUAAAAUUAUUUUUGUUUUGAUGAUUUAAUAUAUUCUUGGCCAUGUUGCCUUCUUUUAAGUGUCUGUAUGUGUGUGUGUUUUGUAGAGACAGACAGAGACAGACAGAAGUGCUAGAGAGAGAGAGAGAGAGAGAGAGAGAGAGAGAGAGAGAGAUCAAAGGAAAGCCUCAGAUAUCAUCCUAAGAAACUCCUCCAUGUACCUCUUUCAAGGCAGAGUUGCUGAUUGUUUGGAAAUCAGAUUCCUCAUUUGGUUCGCCUCAGACCUCCUCCUAUCUCCACCCCCCAGUGAAAGGAGGACAAACCUAUAUUCAGUAUAUCAUACCCGUUCUGGAGAGCAGACUUGGGUCCUCAUUAAUGUAAGGCCCUUUAUCCCUUGAGCUGGCUCCCCAGCCCCAUAGUUAUUCUUCUAAUGACAUUUUUAUCCAUAUUUUCCAAUGUCCUAAAACUUGAUACAUUCUUAUAUAUAACAUUCUGAAGAAAAAGAUACAAUUUGAGAAAACAAUCAUAAAUUCUUUAUUUAGUGCUACUAAUACAAGUUAAGUUAUUCUUUCUAUAUAACUACUGUAGAGAUGUAAUAUAAUUACUUAUCUCCUAAUACAUUUACAACGUAUUUCUGAAUUUACUAAGAAAAAAAAUUGAAAGAUAACUAAAAUGAUUACUUAAAUUUCAGUGUAUUUGUAGUGGUUUAAGAAUAGCCCUAGCAGGCUCAAACAUUUGAAUGAUGAGUUACCAGGGGGCUGAACUGUUUGAAAGGAUUAAGGUUAAGGAAAUGUUGAGUAAAUAUGGUCUUGCUGUAUGUCACUGAAGGCAUGCCAUAUCCCAUCUCUCUUGACCUUUGGAUCUGGAUGUAUCUCUCAGCUACUGCUCCAGAGCCAGGCAUGCUGUCAUGAUCCCCUCUACCAUGAUGACAUGCCUAAGAGGGUAUUAAACAUGUUAUGACAAUAAGAAAAUGGUGUAAAAACAUUUUAUUGUGUUUUUCUAGCACUUAUCAUUACCAUGUAAUUGUGUUGAUUAAUUUUAAUUGCUGUGAUAAUGUCUGAUCAGAUCAAUUCAGGGAAGGAAAAAUUUCCUUUGGUUCAUAGUCUCAGUCCAUUGUUAUUGAUCAGGAAUAUAGGGGACAAACAACUGCCAUAUAAAAAAAAUCAGUCUCAUUCAUACCUACUACCCCUCUACAUUCUAGCAGUUAAGAUCGUCCAUGAUCAGACAUUUCUAGCAAAAGGUUUUGCCCCUGCAAAUAUCCAAAGUGCUUCUCUUAGAGCUACCUGGGCAUGUGCCUGUAGAGUACCUAUGUAGUCUGUACAUCUCUGUCUGUAUAGUCCAGACUGUCCUGUCUGUCUGUAGACCAGGUUGACUAGGUUAGCUUGAAGUGACAUAUUCCCUCUCUAGAAUUGGGUAGGCUGAUCUUAAACUGAUGAGAAUAUGAAUAGAAUUCAUCAAAUGAAAUUUGGAGCUUCUGGUUGCAGAUACUGAAAAAGUAAA